UAAAUGGCGUAAGGAGAGUGUUAGUUUCAUAAAAUAUAAAGUGGUAAACGGCGGAGGUGUAGGAAUAUGGCUCAAAUUUUAAUUUUAUUUUACGUUAUGACUAUAUUUAUUUACCUAUUUCUUGUUUCGACGAAUGUUGAUGCGGGUAUCAGAUGUCGUAAUGUCUAUGAUUGUCCAAAAGCUACGUAUUGCAGGGCUGGUUCUCAUAGGGUGCAAUGUAUAAAGCACCAAUGUAAAUGUGUUCGAAUCUUUGAGUCAAUAGAUCCCGCAUGAUUCUUUAUUUAAUGUCAGACCUAUGAGAGUACACAAACAUCCUGAUAUAAUAUUUAAUAGGUUGUUAUUUAGUUAUUGUGUUGUCACUCAAUAAUUUGUUUUUUUUUUUAAAUAAUUUCAAGUCCAUGUAGUUAUGACUUUGUACUCAAAGAUGGUAGUCAUCAAAUGAAAUAGGGCACCAAAUAAUAAUCAGUAAAUAAAUUGUCCCAUUCUCUCUCAA